AAAUCUAUAGGCUGCUGCCCCCCUCUCAAACCCUCCCCCCACUUAUCUGAUCUGUAGGCUGUCUCUGGCUGCAUGUGUUGUUCCCCUGCGGUUUCAAUCAGCAGAGAGAAGCAGGGAUAAGAUGCAGCUUCCUAUCCCUGUCUCUCUCCAUACACCUACUGACCGGCGCCGGUAUUGCAGUUCAUUUUAAAUCUCAUACGAAAAAUAGCAGAACAAGCUGAAAAAUCC